CUCCUUCACCUUCUCCAGCAGCAGCCACUCCCCUCCUGCUCCUGCUCACCUGGGUUCCAGUUCCCACCUUGUCACAGGUGUGUGUGCCCCCGAGCCUUCGGCUUGCUCCUGGCACUAAUUUCUGAGUUGUCCCCCUUUUCUCUGGUUUGCUUGCUCUGGAUCUCUGAUCAACCGUCUCCCACUUUGUGGAAUUCCCUGAGUCACAGUUCUCCCCUUCAAAUACUCCAAUCUUAUUUUCCUAGCUGCAUCCUGAUUGGUGCCAGUCCGGCACAGCAUCCUGCUCACACUGAAGUCUUGGGUAGCACAGCCCGGAGGCGAUGCCCAGUGCUCCUGCUGACCCGAGGACCUCUGGGGCCAGACCCCAAGGCUUCGACCCCCUUCCCAGCUCUCCUUCUCCGGUUCAGAUUCUACUUGAGCCCACUCUGCCCAGGAGAGACCAAGUAGUUUUCUCUGCCUGCUGACACUGACACCAGAAGACAUUCAAACAGCUCACUGGAUUGCUAGCCCAGCCCAUUGGUGGCAAACCUAUGGGACAUGUGCCCAGCCUCUGCCAUCAAUUAAGUAGAUGCCAUAGCUCUGACUUGUUUCCUGUAAAGGGGUGCCGGCUUUGUUUACUUCAUUUAGCAGGCUCUCUCUGCGCACUCGGUCCACUGCCUCCCACAUCGCAGGUUCACAGUACAGGCUUGUGAGCUAAAUACAGUCUACAUUUCACCAGCAUCUGUGCUGAUUUCCGGUUCCUUGUCAGAGGGACAUGCUGUGUGCCCUCCUGCAGCUGCAUGGUGUGCACUGGAUCAUCCACUCAGGAUGUGCUCUGAGCAGGUCCUGUAUUCUAGACCGGAGAUACUGGGGGCCACUAGGGGCAGCACAAAGACUCCAAGGCCCAUUGCCACUUACUUUAAAAGCAAGGGUUC
ensembl:lncRNA